GACGAACGCUGGCGGCGUGCUUAACACAUGCAAGUCGAACGGAAAGGCCUCUUUCGGGGGGUACUCGAGUGGCGAACGGGUGAGUAACACGUGAGUAACCUGCCCUUGACUUUGGGAUAACUUCAGGAAACUGGGGCUAAUACCGGAUAGGAGCUCCUGCUGCAUGGUGGGGGUUGGAAAGUUUCGGCGGGUGGGGAUGGACUCGCGGCUUAUCAGCUUGUUGGUGGGGUAGUGGCUUACCAAGGCUUUGACGUGUAGCCGGCCUGAGAGGGUGAGCCGCGACACUGGGACUGAGAUACGGCACAGGUACCUACGCGAGGCAGCUGGGGGGAAGAUUGCACAAGCGGUGCAAGCCGGAUGAAGAAACGCUGUGGGCGGGAUGACGGCCUUCGGGUUGAAAAACGCAUUCGCACAUGACGAAGCUUUGUGUGACGGUAGUGGGUAAAGAAGCACCGGCUAACUACGUG
rnacentral:rRNA from 1 species